GUGGGUAGUUUAACCUUUCGGGGAGGACGCUCACCACUUUGUGGUUCAUGACUGGGGUGAAGUCGUAACAAGGUAGCCCUAGGGGAACCUGGGGCUGGAUCACCUCCUUAUACGAAGAUACC
rnacentral:rRNA from 1 species